rnacentral:rRNA from 1 species
CCUACGGGUGGCAGCAGUGAGGAAUAUUGGUCAAUGGGCGUAAGCCUGAACCAGCCAAGUCGCGUGAGGGAUGAAGGUUCUAUGGAUCGUAAACCUCUUUUAUAAGGGAAUAAAAUGCGGGACGUGUCCCGUUUUGUAUGUACCUUAUGAAUAAGGAUCGGCUAACUCCGUGCCAGCAGCCGCGGUAAUACGGAGGAUCCGAGCGUUAUCCGGAUUUAUUGGGUUUAAAUGGUGCGUAGGCGGCCUUUUAAGUCAGCGGUGAAAGUCUGUGGGUCAACCCCAGAAGGGCCGUGAAAACUGGCAGGCUUGAGGAUGUUUGAGGCAGGCGGAAUGCGCGGUGUAGCGGUGAAAUGCUUAGAUAUCACGCAGAACCCCGAUUGCGAAGGCAGCAUGCCAAGCGAUGACUGACGCUGAUGCACGAAAGCGUGGGGAUCAAACAGGAUUAGAUACCCUUGUAGUC